UACGGAGGGUGCGAGCGUUAAUCGGAAUUACUGGGCGUAAAGCGUGCGUAGACGGUUAUGUAAGUCAGGUGUGAAAGCCCCGGGCUCAACCUGGGAAUGGCAUUUGAGACUGCAUAGCUAGGGUGCGGAAGAGGUAAGUGGAACUGCGAGUGUAGAGGUGAAAUUCGUAGAUAUUCGCAAGAACACCAGUGGCGAAGGCGGCUUACUGGUCCGGUUCUGACGCUGAGGCGCGAAAGCGUGGGGAGCAACCAGG
rnacentral:rRNA from 1 species